rnacentral:snRNA from 1 species
GCGCUUGCUUCGGCAGCACAUACACUAAAACUGGACGCUACACAGGUUAGCACGCGGCCCCUGGGCCAGAAUGACACACAAAUUUCUGAUGUGUUCAAUAUUAAA